UGUUCCCUGCGGGGUGCGUGAUGUGCAGCAAACGCUCGAACCUAUACCAAUCAAACGGGGGUCGUUUCGGGCACCGGGUGCAGGCCUUCCCUCGGGGAGGAAGCCGAAGGGGCUCGAACUUGAUCCCCACCUGAACCCCUUGGUUCAGUGGAAGUUGCACACACGGCUCAUGCGGGGAGCUU
rnacentral:other from 1 species